rnacentral:rRNA from 1 species
UACGGAGGGUGCGAGCGUUGUCCGGAAUCACUGGGCGUAAAGGGCGCGUAGGUGGCCUGUGGAAGUCUGCGGUGAAAGCCCGGCGCUCAACGCCGGGUCGGCCGUGGAUACUCUCGGGCUUGAGCUUACUAGAGGCAGAUGGAAUUCCGGGUGUAGCGGUGGAAUGCGUAGAGAUCCGGAAGAACACCGGUGGCGAAGGCGGCCUUCUGGACAGCAUCUGACGCUGAGACGCGAAAGCGUGGGGAGCAAACAGG